rnacentral:rRNA from 1 species
UACGUAGGCAGCAAGCGUUGUUCGGAAUUACUGGGCGUAAAGAGUGUGUAGGCGGUGCUCUAAGUUCGGUGUGAAAUCUCCCGGCUCAACUGGGGAGGGUGCGCCGGAAACUGGGGGUGCUGGAGCGCGGGAGAGGAAAGCGGAAUUCCUGGUGUAGCGGUGAAAUGCGUAGAUAAUCGGAAGGAACACCGGUGGCGAAAGCGGCGCGCUGGACCUCUACUGACGCUGAGGCGCGAAAGCCAGGGGAGCAAACGGGG